GCUCCCUCGGAGGGUUUUCAGAGAGGUCUCAGUGCAUCCAUUUUCUCAGAUCCUCUCCUUCUUUCGGGGGAAGGAUCUGGGGCCCUGGAGGCGCCUUGGAGCGCGAAGGCGGCGGCUCCGGCUCUCGGAGGGGUCUGCGCAGUGGCUGAGGGAGCUCCUGGGUGGCGGCGGCGGCGGUUCUCCGGGACUGGACGCCGUGAGGGGAGCAAGCGGAUUUUCCCAGCAAGAUCUCCAUGUACAGCUACAUCUUUAGGGCCGCUCGGGUUAAUAUAUGUCGUCAGAGGCUCCUCACGCCAAUCCCGGGGCGGCGGGGGCGGCGCCUCGCUCGCUCUGCAAUAAAACUUUUUGAUGUUCUCCUUGCUAAUUGCCUAGGUCCUCUUCCAGGAUUGGCUGCCCCUUCAUAACCAUAAGAUAAUUAAAACGGGGGGGGGGGCAGGGUUAAAAAAACUUUUUAUCAGCCAGAGGUUAAUGCAAGUGUUUAGCAGAUGCUUCACAAUUAAAAUAUUUUUUCCCUUCAAGUCUUAAAUAUUGAAGAAUCUCAAACCAGGUACAGUAUCGCUCUACUUUCUUUUCUGGUUAAAAAACCCCAACAACUCAGCUAUUGCUUUUCUAACUGUUUUGUAGGUCAUCGAGGUAAGGAAAUAAGCAGGCAGCCUCGUGCAGUUUUGAGCAGGGGCCGAGAUCAGAGGAGGCGGGCGGCGGGGGCCCCACAAAGGGGCGACUGGAAGCCGGAGCUGUCUCUCCGCCCGGUCGGGCACGGGGCGCGGCAGGCGAAGGCUGCUUCUUUGACCUGGGCGCAGGCUGGAAACCCCGGUCUUGCUGUCUCUUUUCUUAUCUACCACGUUCCCCCGGCCAGGGCUGCCUGGGGUGGCUCCUGUUAUUGUGGCCGCUUUUGGAGACGGUGGUUGAGACCCUCGGACGAACGGUCAAGCCGAUUGUAAAUGCUCUUAUUUCCCUAUUCUUCAGGGACACCAGCCCCAACGAAACACCUUGGGCGAUUUCAAAGCGCAGGCACCUCGAUUCCCCGAAUUUGUGGUGUGGCCGGUAUCGGUGUUCCCUUGGUUUAACUAGCCUGUCUGGCGAAGAUCAUACUUGGGCAAGUACAACCGAAACCAGUCCUCCCCUGGCCCCUCCACCCCAAGGGUCUUCAUUUUCCCAAUCUACAUCUGCCUGUGACUCCAGAAAGACAAGCUUCAGAUUGGCCAAGGUACAUCUCUGACCAGAGCCCUCCGGGAAAUGUGCAGGAAUGUGUGGCUUAUGGUGAGGAGCUCUGGUGAGGGUGCCCCCAGUGCCAUUUUCCUGCCCCUGCCCUUGACAGUCCUUUCUGGCCCAAGUCCGGAGCUCUGGAAGGUCAAAGUCUAGCUGCUGGUGUCAUCUCCAAGCCCUUGGUUGUCAAUCCUGAGACAGAUUGGAAUUUCCGCUCAAGGCUUGAUCAACUCACAAUUCUCCAAGUUGGAGGUGCAUCCGGGAGAUGGCAGCAGGUGGUGAAAGUGUGACCCCCACUUUGUCUCCAGGUAUGGGUCUGGCACACUUUGACUUGUCGGCAUAGCUGGCAAACAACCCAUCUCUCUCCCACAUUAAAGAAUCCACACUUCUUUGUUUCUUCCAGGCCCAGCUUAAAUUCCACCUCCUCCAGGAAGCCUUUCCAGGUAUUGCUUCCCUUCUCUUUGCUCCCCCAAAUGAAGUCUCUUUUCUUCUGAACUCUUUUCUAGUGCUCCUCCCCAUAUUCCCUCUGGUAGGUCUCUGGGCACCUAUCUUUCACCUCCUGUGAGUGUGGGUUCCUUGAGAGCCCAAUCAAUGCAUUGUACCCGGUAGAUGCUUAAACAGCUUGUGUAAAAGGGAUGACUUAGAGAACUCGGGUGAAUUCCGCAUAUCCCAAUUGCAAUCGGAUUGGUUUUCUUUAUUUUGAAAGCGACUGGAGCUAGUAGAGGAGUUGGACGUCUUCCAUUAGGCAACAGAACUUCAUCUCCACGCCCUAGAGAGAAGCAGGGAAGGCUUCCUCCGGAUGGAUCGCGCUUGCAAGGGGUCUCCGUCAGCCGUCGUUGGAUCCGAGCGUGGGACACCCAGCCCCAGCCUGGCCUUCCCGGGUCGCCCCUCUCCACGUCCUGAGCUCCCGAGUCAGAGCUGGGCAGGGCGGACUCUGGGCUUCCCACGGACUGGCUGCGCGACCUCGGACAAGCUCCUCGGUCUCUCUAAGCCUUAGUUUCCCCAUCUGAACAGUGGGGAAUGACACCGACCUCGAGAGUGUGCAGGGAAGGUUAAACGAGAUGAAGGUGCACGAAAGAUCGAGACGCCUGACGCACAGGCUGCGCUCAAUAAAUGUUUAUGCAUUUUCUCUUCCCGUCUCUUA
rnacentral:lncRNA from 1 species